rnacentral:rRNA from 1 species
AUUGAACGCUGGCGGUAUGCUUUACACAUGCAAGUCGAACGGUAACAGGCCGCAAGGUGCUGACGAGUGGCGAACGGGUGAGUAAUGCAUCGGAACGUGCCCUGUCGUGGGGGAUAACGCAGCGAAAGCUGCGCUAAUACCGCAUACGAUCUAUGGAUGAAAGCGGGGGACCGUAAGGCCUCGCGCGAUUGGAGCGGCCGAUGUCAGAUUAGGUAGUUGGUGGGGUAAAGGCCUACCAAGCCGACGAUCUGUAGCUGGUCUGAGAGGACGACCAGCCACACUGGGACUGAGACACGGCCCAGACUCCUACGGGAGGCAGCAGUGGGGAAUUUGGGACAAUGGGCGCAAGCCUGAUCCAGCAAUGCCGCGUGCAGGAUGAAGGCCUUCGGGUUGUAAACUGCUUUUGUACGGAGCGAAAAGGCUCUCUCUAAUACAGGGGGCUCAUGACGGUACCGUAAGAAUAAGCACCGGCUAACUACGUGCCAGCCGCCGCAGUAAGAC